rnacentral:rRNA from 1 species
UACGAGGGGGGCAACUGUUGUUCGGAAUCACUGGGCGUAAAGGGAGCGUAGGCGGGUUUUUAAGUCAGGUGUUUAAUCCCGGGGCCCAACCCCGGACAGGCACUUGAAACUGGGAAUCUUGAAUAGUGGAGAGGUCGGUGGAAUUGGGGGUGUAGCGGUGGAAUGCGUAGAGAUCCCCAAGAACACCCGUUGCGAAGGCGGCCGACUGGACACAUAUUGACGCUGAGGCUCGAAAGCAUGGGGAGCAAACAGG